AUUGAACGCUGGCGGCAUGCCUAACACAUGCAAGUCGAACGGUAACGCGAAGAGCUUGCUCUUUGGCGACGAGUGGCGGACGGGUGAGUAAUACUUAGGAAUCUGCCCAUUAGUGGGGGACAACUCGAGGAAACUCGAGCUAAUACCGCAUACGCCCUACGGGGGAAAGCGGGGGAUCUUCGGACCUCGCGCUAAUGGAUGAGCCUAAGUCGGAUUAGCUUGUUGGUGAGGUAAAGGCUCACCAAGGCGACGAUCCGUAGCUGGUCUGAGAGGACGAUCAGCCACACUGGGACUGAGACACGGCCCAGACUCCUACGGGAGGCAGCAGUGGGGAAUAUUGGACAAUGGGCGAAAGCCUGAUCCAGCAAUGCCGCGUGUGUGAAGAAGGCCUGCGGGUUGUAA
rnacentral:rRNA from 1 species